GACGGAAGGUGCAAGCGUUGCUCGGAAUCACUGGGCGUAAAGGGUGCGUAGGCGGCCGUGCAAGUCUGGCGUGAAAGCCCCGGGCUCAGCCCGGGAAGUGCGCUCGAAACUGCGCGGCUCGAGUGCCGGAGGGGAGAGUGGAAUUCCUGGUGUAGCGGUGAAAUGCGCAGAUAUCAGGAAGAACACCAGUGGCGAAGGCGGCUCACUGGCCCGGUACUGACGCUGAGGUGCGAAAGCGUGGGGAGCAAACAGG
rnacentral:rRNA from 1 species